rnacentral:rRNA from 1 species
UACGAGAGUUUGACCUGGCUCAGGAUGAACGCUGGCGGUAUGCCUAACACAUGCAAGUCGUACGAGAGUUUUUAACUCUAGUGGCGGACGGGUGAGUAACACGUGAGAAUUUGCCUUUAGGAGGGGGAUAACAAUUGGAAACGAAUGCUAAUACCCCAUAUGCUUUCGAGUGAAAGAAUUUAUGUUUAUUCGCCUAAAGAGAAGCUCGCGGCUGAUUAGCUUGUUGGUAAGGUAAGAGCUUACCAAGGCGACGAUCAGUAUCUGGUUUGAGAGGACGAUCAGACACACUGGAACUGAGACACGGUCCAGACUCCUACGGGAGGCAGCAGUGGGGAAUUUUCCGCAAUGGGCGAAAGCCUGACGGAGCAAUACCGCGUGAGGGAAGACUGCCUAUGGGUUGUAAACCUCUUUUUUCAGGGAGGAAUAAAAUGACGUGUACCUGAAGAAUAAGCAUCGGCUAACUCCGUGCCAGCAGCCGCGGUACGACGGAGGAUGCAAGUGUUAUCCGGAAUCACUGGGCGUAAAGCGUCUGUAGGUGGUUUAAUAAGUCAACUGUUAAAUCUUGACGCUCAACUUCAAA